rnacentral:lncRNA from 1 species
AUGGCCAGGAAUAGAUCUAUGAUCAGUGGAAAUUUCGCUGACUGUACUUGUUCCCAGCGGAAAAGAAUUGGUUUCCCCAAAACAUAUGCAAAAAUGCCCCGAGACCAGUGUGAACCUAUAGUCUCUGGAAGACCAAAUUUAAGGACUCCCAAGAUGCGUUCUACAGAGGGGUGUAACCCAAUUUUAUUCUCACCCCCCUGUUCUUCUCAAAUGUCUUCAGGAAGCAGUUUCAAAUGUAGGAGAAGGAGCACAAAGAAAAGUAAUUCAAAGAUUCUAAACUCCGCUUUGGACCGUGCCCUACAGACUGCAGUCGGCUUAAAAAAGACGACGGAACGGAUGAUUCGAGAAGUGGCAGAGGAUCUGGAUAAAUUUCAGAAUCAGAAAAGUCAGGAACAAUUUUAGCCCCUGCACGGUCUGAUCUGAGAGGAUAUGAAAUGUGACGUUUCCAGAGAUGCACGGACUCCAUAAUGGUUGGAGGCUUGAAAAAGUGGUGCGCAGCCCCUCAUUUUCCAGGAACUUAGAUGGCGUCGGCAGAGCUGCUUCCCAACUCUGUUUAACACAGGCAGCAGCUACUGCAGUUUGUGGGCUGGAGAGAAGAGUCAAUCCAAAAGCAAUGGAAUUCUCCACAUCAUCCG